rnacentral:misc_RNA from 1 species
GAUGAAGAACGCAGCGAAAUGCGAUAAGUAAUGUGAAUUGCAGAAUCCAGUGAAUCAUCGAAUCUUUGAACGCACAUUGCGCCCGCCAGCAUUCUGGCGGGCAUGCCUGUUCGAGCGUCAUUUCAACCCUCGACCUCCCUUUGGGGAAGUCGGCGUUGGGGACCGGCAGCACACCGCCGGCCCUGAAAUGGAGUGGCGGCCCGUCCGCGGCGACCUCUGCGUAGUAACCCAACUCGCACCGGAACCCCGACGUGGCCACGCCGUAAAACACCCAACUUCUGAACGUUGACCUCGAAUCAGGUAGGACUACCCGCUGAACUUAAGCAUAUCAAUAAGCGGAGGA